rnacentral:lncRNA from 1 species
CAGGAGAAAAACAAGUAAACCAAAGUAUAUUCCAAUAGUAUUUCGUGUCCUUACAAUUGAUCAGAUAUCUCCCUUUUAUAGAUAUCUUGGAGAUAUGCGUUUUUCCCAAAUCAUAAUGAGGCUAUUAUGAAUAAUUAAAGACAUUAAAUGCUACGUUACAUAAUCAUAAUAUUUAAUACAAAUUCUCUAACGUAUUCAACAUUUAAUGCCUAUUAAAUACCGUAUCUGCACUCUUUUCUAUCGUCAGAUCCAUUCCUUUUGAUUCUUGGAUAUAAAUGACUUAAAUAGGUACGGGCACUGAAUCCUUCGAAUAACCUCCUGUGCCUCUUCCUUUGCCUUUGCUCGUUUCCAUUGCUGCUCGUGCCUCUUGGCUAAUUGUAAUUCUUUGACCAUUUGACCAGUAUGCGUGUCUUGACACGUCACCUUUAUACAUAAAUACAAUUUUUUCCAAUAUAAAUAUGUCAUUAUUUUAUUGAAUUUGAUUAAAAAACCAUUUAACAUAAUGGUUUGCAAUGUGAAAAAGAUAAAGUAACUAGUUGGUCAGGUGCUAAGUGCCAAAAGUUUCCACAUAGGGAAAAAAUAUGCCUCUUAAUAUAAAAACUUUUCAUUCAUGAUUUUCCAAAAAAAAAAUGUUAUCCAAGUGAAGAAGGGUAGAGGGGCGGAUCCAUUAUCCAUCAAAUUUUGAACUAUGCAUCGGGAUUUCGGCUACAAAAAAACAAGAUUAGCCAAUCUAAUCUAUACCAACAAAACUGAUAUCUUUAUCGUCAAUUAUUAAGAAUAUAGCAACAAGCACAUCUAGAAAAAUCAAUUAGCAGGAAAAACUUUUGCAGGUUUGAAAAACAUAAACAACAAUGGGAGAGUGAAAAAUCACCAAAACUAAUCCAGGAAAGAGGGUUCAUAUUGUAGUAAUUGAGAGCAAAAAUUUCAAUAACACUAUUUCAAUAUUCUUUGUAAGCAGUUACACGAAUUAGCGUGAGUCGUGCUGGGUACUAUCCUAAAAAAUUAUUUCAGCAGUGCAAAAUAUUUCUUCAGGAUUAAACUAGCUUACCUCUAUUUUAUUUAGAGGAUACAUGAAUCAGCAAAAUUAAAUAUUACAAACCCUACUAGCAAGUAGAAAAAGUAAAUAAGAAAGGAAACAAUUAAUGUUUAAUAUUGGACAACAAAAGAAGAAGGUAGGCGUGAAAGGAAAGGAGAGGAAUGAUGUUUUUUUG